rnacentral:rRNA from 1 species
UACGUAGGUGGCAAGCGUUGUCCGGAUUUACUGGGUGUAAAGGGCGUGUAGCCGGGCUGACAAGUCAGAUGUGAAAUCCGGGGGUUCAACCCCCGAACUGCAUUUGAAACUGUUGGUCUUGAGUAUCGGAGAGGCAGGCGGAAUUCCUAGUGUAGCGGUGAAAUGCGUAGAUAUUAGGAGGAACACCAGUGGCGAAGGCGGCCUGCUGGACGACAACUGACGGUGAGGCGCGAAAGCGUGGGGAGCAAACAGG